rnacentral:rRNA from 1 species
GACGAACGCUGGCGGCGUGCUUAACACAUGCAAGUCGAGCGGUAAGGCCCUUUCGGGGUACGACGAGCGGCGAACGGGUGAGUAACACGUGGGUGACCUGCCCUCAGCUCUGGGAUAAGCCCGGGAAACUGGGUCUAAUACCGGAUAUGACUCCAUGACGCAUGUUGGUGGGGUGGAAAGCCUUGUGCGGCUGAGGAUGGGCCCGCGGCCUAUCAGC